rnacentral:rRNA from 1 species
GACGAACGCUGGCGGCGUGCUUAACACAUGCAAGUCGAACGGUAAGGCCCUUCGGGGUACACGAGUGGCGAACGGGUGAGUAACACGUGGGUGAUCUGCCCUGCACUUCGGGAUAAGCCUGGGAAACUGGGUCUAAUACCGGAUAGGACCACUGCCUGCAUGGGUGGUGGUGGAAAGCUUUUGCGGUGUGGGAUGGGCCCGCGGCCUAUCAGCUUGUUGGUGGGGUGAUGGCCUACCAAGGCGACGACGGGUAGCCGGCCUGAGAGGGUGACCGGCCACACUGGGACUGAGAUACGGCCCAGACUCCUACGGGAGGCAGCAGUGGGGAAUAUUGCACAAUGGGCGCAAGCCUGAUGCAGCGACGCCGCGUGAGGGAUGACGGCCGCCGGGUUGUAAACCUCUUUCAGCACCGACGAAGCGCAAGUGACGGUAGGUGCAGAAGAAGGACCGGCCAACUACGUGCCAGCCGCCGCAGUAA